rnacentral:rRNA from 1 species
UACGUAGGGGGCAAGCGUUGUCCGGAAUCAUUGGGCGUAAAGCGCGCGUAGGCGGCCCGAUAAGUCCGCUGUGAAAGUCAAAGGCUCAACCUUUGAAUGCCGGUGGAUACUGUCGGGCUAGAGUCCGGAAGAGGCGAGUGGAACUCCUGGUGUAGCGGUGGAAUGCGCAGAUAUCAGGAAGAACACCGAUAGCGAAGGCAGCUCGCUGGGACGGUACUGACGCUGAGGUGCGAAAGCGUGGGGAGCAAACAGG